rnacentral:lncRNA from 1 species
GCGUGUGCGGCUUCAAGAGAACCCGAUUCUACGAUCAUCAAAUUGAGUUGAAGAUCUAUCAACGAAAAAGGUAAAGAUUCGAUCUUGUUUUUCUUCUUUAAUCUUAAAACAUGAGGGAUCCUAAUUGCGUGGUUUUUGAGAUUGGAUCUCGAGAGUUUUCUAAAAUCAAAUUUGUUUGAUUUCUUUUUCCGCUACGUUUUUACCGUACGCAAUUUUCUAACAGUACUAAGGGAGAAUAGGGGUUUGAAUUUAUAUACAGAUUAGUUUCAUUGCGGAGAUAGUUUUGUU